rnacentral:tRNA from 1 species
UGUUCUAUGGCUUAGUUGGUUAAAGCGCCGGUCUAGCGAAUACGCAGUCGUGGGUUCGAAUCCCACCAGAACGC